rnacentral:rRNA from 1 species
UGACUGCUAUCGGAUUGGUACUAAGCCAUGCGAGUCGUUGUAGCAAUACAAGGCGGACGGCUCAGUAACACGUAGUCAACCUAACCUAUGGACGUGGAUAACCUCGGGAAACUGAGAAUAAACCGCGAUAGAUCAUUAUGCCUGGAAUGGCUUAUGGUUCAAACAAUUUAUUGCCGUAGGAUGGGACUGCGGCCUAUCAGCUUGUUGGUGAGGUAAUGGCCCACCAAGGCUAUAACAGGUACGGGCUCUGAGAGGAGAAGCCCGGAGAUGGGUACUGAGACACGGACCCAGGCCCUAUGGGGCGCAGCAGGCGAGAAACCUUAGCAAUGUGCGAAAGCACGACUAGGUUAAUCCGAGUGAUUUCUGUUGAAGAAAUCUUUUGUCAGUCGUAAAACCACAGACGAAUAAGGGGUGGGCAAGUCUGGUGUCAGCCGCCGCGGUAAUACCAGCACCUCGAGUGGUCAGGAGGUUUAUUGGGCCUAAAGCAUCCGUAGCCGGCUUUGCAAGUCUUCGGUUAAAUCCACCUGCUCAACAGAUGGGCUGCUGGAGAUACUACAGAGCUAGGGAGUGGGAGAGGCAGACGGUAUUCAGUGGGUAGGGGUAAAAUCCUCUGAUCCAUUGAGGACCACCAGUGGCGAAGGCGGUCUGCCAGAACACGUUCGACGGUGAGGGAUGAAAGCUGGGGGAGCAAACCGGACUAGAUACCCGGGUAGUCCCAGCUGUAAACGAUGCAAACUCGGUGAUGCAUUGGCUUAUGGCCAAUGCAGUGCCGCAGGGAAGCCGUUAAGUUUGCCGCCUGGGAAGUACGGACGCAAGUCUGAAACUUAAAGGAACUGGCGGGGGAGCACCACAAGGGGUGAAGCCUGCGGUUCA